CUUUUGAAAACUCAACCCAUUUCAGAUAACCUCCAGAGCAAUACCCGGUUUACACUGCAGCUGAGAUCAUACCCAAGAGGGUCGAAACAAGGGGACAUUAUAAACCAUGUGAUCAGCACUGCUAAAAAGCCUAUUGUCUGUUUUGUGGCGAACAAGGAUAUCACUUGAAUCAUUUAGUCAGUCAAAAGCAAAACCACCCGAUAUAACAAAGAAGAGGGAGAAAGGGUAACUUGAAAUGUAAGGCACUCCAGGGGUGAGGAAAGGUGAGCUGGAACAGCUUAAAGGAUCUGGAAGCCUCACAAAAUGGGAAUGAAAGCUGGAAUGAAAGGCAGGAUACAUCCACCAGACAAAAGACAGAAAUAAUACGUCUUAUGGGUUUGGAGUGAAAUAAGGAAGGCGAAGGAUGUACUCACCAUUGACUGUAAGAUGGACCCAGCUGCCGUUGUGGAAGGUGUCGUACUGCUGCUCCAGCAUGAGGACCCUGCACUCGUACCAGCCCUGAUCCUCUGAG